rnacentral:rRNA from 1 species
UACGUAGGUGACAAGCGUUGUCCGGAUUUACUGGGCGUAAAGAGCGCGCAGGCGGUCGUGCAAGUCGCGUGUGAAAGCCCCCGGCUCAACUGGGGAGGGUCACGCGAUACUGAUCGACUCGAAGGCAGGAGAGGGUAGUGGAAUUCCCGGUGUAGUGGUGAAAUUCGUAGAUAUUCGGAAGAACACCAGUGGCGAAGGCGGCUCACUGGACUGGUAUUGACGCUGAGGUGCGAAAGCGUGGGGAGCAAACAGG